rnacentral:lncRNA from 1 species
AAUAUCACUUGUUAUUUUAUACUCAUGAGAUGUUAAUGUGAAAGUUGAAAAUGUGACAUGCCAUAUCAUUAUGUUACAUCAACAUGCCAUGUUAAUUAUUAUUCAUUAUGACGUAUUAUCUUAUCAUGCUAGUAUCAUGUGACAUAAAAUGACAAGUGAUAUUUUAAUUCAUUUGUUAUAAGGGUUUGUUUGAUUUAAAAUAAAA